rnacentral:rRNA from 1 species
UACGUAGGGACCAAGCGUUGUUCGGAUUUACUGGGCGUAAAGGGCGCGUAGGCGGCAAUUCAAGUCAGUUGUGAAAUCUCCGAGCUUAACUCGGAACGGUCAACUGAUACUGUUUGCUAGAGUGCAGAAAGGGCAACCGGAAUUCUUGGUGUAGACGGUGAAAUGCGUAGAUAUCAAGAGGAACACCUGAGGCGAAGGCGGGUUGCUAGGCUGACACUGACGGCUGAGGCGCGGAAAGCGUGGGGAGCAAACAGG